AUUGAACGCUGGCGGCAGGCCUAACACAUGCAAGUCGAGCGGAUGAAGGGGGCUUGCUCCUGGAUUCAGCGGCGGACGGGUGAGUAAUGCCUAGGAAUCUGCCUGGUAGUGGGGGAUAACGUCCGGAAACGGGCGCUAAUACCGCAUACGUCCUGAGGGAGAAAGUGGGGGAUCUUCGGACCUCACGCUAUCAGAUGAGCCUAGGUCGGAUUAGCUAGUUGGUGGGGUAAAGGCCUACCAAGGCGACGAUCCGUAACUGGUCUGAGAGGAUGAUCAGUCACACUGGAACUGAGACACGGUCCAGACUCCUACGGGAGGCAGCAGUGGGGAAUAUUGGACAAUGGGCGAAAGCCUGAUCCAGCCAUGCCGCGUGUGUGAAGAAGGUCUUCGGAUUGUAAAGCACGUUAAGUUGGGGGGAAGGGCAGUAAGUUAAUACCUUGCUGUUUUGACGUUACCAACAGAAUAAGCACCGGCUAACUUCGUG
rnacentral:rRNA from 1 species